CGUGUAGGCGGUUGAAAAACGUCAGGUGUGAAAUUCUUCGGCUCAACCGAGGGACUGCGCCUGAAACUUUUCGACUGGAGUUCGGGAGGGGCAACUGGAAUUCCUGGUGUAACGGUGAAAUGUGUAGAUAUCAGGAGGAACACCGGUGGCGAAGGCGGGUUGCUGGACCGAAACUGACGCUGAGACGCGAAAGCGUGGGUAGCAAACA
rnacentral:rRNA from 1 species